rnacentral:rRNA from 1 species
GGCAGCACAGGUAGCAAUACCGGGUGGCGACCGGCGCACGGGUGAGUAACGCGUAUGCAACUUGCCUAUCAGAGGGGGAUAACCCGGCGAAAGUCGGACUAAUACCGCAUGAAGCAGGGAUCCCGCAUGGGGAUAUUUGCUAAAGAUUCAUCGCUGAUAGAUAGGCAUGCGUUCCAUUAGGCAGUUGGCGGGGUAACGGCCCACCAAACCGACGAUGGAUAGGGGUUCUGAGAGGAAGGUCCCCCACAUUGGUACCGAGACACGGACCAAACUCCUACGGGAGGCAGCAGUGAGGAAUAUUGGUCAAUGGGCGUAAGCCUGAACCAGCCAAGUCGCGUGAGGGAUGAAGGUUCUAUGGAUCGUAAACCUCUUUUAUAAGGGAAUAAAGUGCGGGACGUGUCCCGUUUUGUAUGUACCUUAUGAAUAAGGAUCGGCUAACUCCGUGCCAGCAGCCGCGGUAAUACGGAGGAUCCGAGCGUUAUCCGGAUUUAUUGGGUUUAAAGGGUGCGUAGGCGGCCUUUUAAGUCAGCGGUGAAAGUCUGUGGCUCAACCAUAGAAUUGCCGUUGAAACUGGGGGGCUUGAGUAUGUUUGAGGCAGGCGGAAUGCGUGGUGUAGCGGUGAAAUGCAUAGAUAUCACGCAGAACCUCGAUUGCGAAGGCAGCCUGCCCAGCCAUUACUGA